rnacentral:rRNA from 1 species
GAUGAACGCUGGCGGCGUGCCUAAUACAUGCAAGUCGAGCGAACGGACGAGAAGCUUGCUUCUCUGAUGUUAGCGGCGGACGGGUGAGUAACACGUGGAUAACCUACCUAUAAGACUGGGAUAACUUCGGGAAACCGGAGCUAAUACCGGAUAAUAUUUUGAACCGCAUGGUUCAAAAGUGAAAGACGGUCUUGCUGUCACUUAUAGAUGGAUCCGCGCUGCAUUAGCUAGUUGGCAAGGUAACGGCUUACCAAGGCAACGAUGCAUAGCCGACCUGAGAGGGUGAUCGGCCACACUGGAACUGAGACACGGUCCAGACUCCUACGGGAGGCAGCAGUAGGGAAUCUUCCGCAAUGGGCGAAAGCCUGACGGAGCAACGCCGCGUGAGUGAUGAAGGUCUUCGGAUCGUAAAACUCUGUUAUUAGGGAAGAACAUAUGUGUAAGUAACUGUGCACAUCUUGACGGUACCUAAUCAGAAAGCCACGGCUAACUACGUGCCAGCAGCCGCGGUAAUACGUAGGUGGCAAGCGUUAUCCGGAAUUAUUGGGCGUAAAGCGCGCGUAGGCGGUUUUUUAAGUCUGAUGUGAAAGCCCACGGCUCAACCGUGGAGGGUCAUUGGAAACUGGAAAACUUGAGUGCAGAAGAGGAAAGUGGAAUUCCAUGUGUAGCGGUGAAAUGCGCAGAGAUAUGGAGGAACACCAGUGGCGAAGGCGACUUUCUGGUCUGUAACUGACGCUGAUGUGCGAAAGCGUGGGGAUCAAACAGGAUUAGAUACCCUGGUAGUCCACGCCGUAAACGAUGAGUGCUAAGUGUUAGGGGGUUUCCGCCCCUUAGUGCUGCAGCUAACGCAUUAAGCACUCCGCCUGGGGAGUACGACCGCAAGGUUGAAACUCAAAGGAAUUGACGGGGACCCGCACAAGCGGUGGAGCAUGUGGUUUAAUUCGAAGCAACGCGAAGAACCUUACCAAAUCUUGACAUCCUUUGACAACUCUAGAGAUAGAGCUUUCCCCUUCGGGGGACAAAGUGACAGGUGGUGCAUGGUUGUCGUCAGCUCGUGUCGUGAGAUGUUGGGUUAAGUCCCGCAACGAGCGCAACCCUUAAGCUUAGUUGCCAUCAUUAAGUUGGGCACUCUAAGUUGACUGCCGGUGACAAACCGGAGGAAGGUGGGGAUGACGUCAAAUCAUCAUGCCCCUUAUGAUUUGGGCUACACACGUGCUACAAUGGACAAUACAAAGGGCAGCGAAACCGCGAGGUCAAGCAAAUCCCAUAAAGUUGUUCUCAGUUCGGAUUGUAGUCUGCAGCUCGACUACAUGAAGCUGGAAUCGCUAGUAAUCGUAGAUCAGCAUGCUACGGUGAAUACGUUCCCGGGUCU